rnacentral:tRNA from 1 species
UCCCUGAUGGUUCAGCGGUUAAGCAUCUGCCUGCCAGUGCAGGGGACGCAGGUUCCAUCCCUGCUCUGGGAC